rnacentral:rRNA from 1 species
GUACGGGAGGCAGCAGUGGGGAAUAUUGCGCAAUGGGGGCAACCCUGACGCAGCCAUGCCGCGUGUGUGAAGAAGGCCUUCGGGUUGUAAAGCACUUUAAGUGGGGAAGAAAAGUUGGUCGUUAAUAGCGGCCAGCCCUGACAUUACCCACAGAAUAAGCACCGGCUAACUCCGUGCCAGCAGCCGCGGUAAUACGGAGGGUGCGAGCGUUAAUCGGAAUUACUGGGCGUAAAGCGCGCGUAGGCGGUUUGUUAAGUCAGCUGUGAAAGCCCCGGGCUCAACCUGGGAACUGCAGUUGAUACUGGCCGACUAGAGUACGAGAGAGGGAGGUAGAAUUCCAUGUGUAGCGGUGAAAUGCGUAGAUAUAUGGAGGAAUACCAGUGGCGAAGGCGGCCUCCUGGCUCGAUACUGACGCUGAGGUGCGAAAGCGUGGGGAUCAAACAGGAUUAGAUACCCCGGUAGU